GUCGGAAAUUACUAGACGUCCGGAUUCGAGCGCGCGACCGGAUCUCCUUCUUCCCUUGUGCAAAUGUGGCUAUAACUUUUUAUCUUUUUACGAGAGAGAAGAAAAAAGAUAUCUAAAGAUGAAAGUGUGGUUUGCUAAAAGAUUAUCUUUGGUCUCAGAGUGACACUGCAUCCCAAAAGGAACAGGCAUGCAUAAAAGAAGAAGAGAUUCCACAGUGCGAUAGUCGACCCAUGCAGAAAAAAAAUAACAAAAGAAAACAUUUUGAAGGAUGAUUAAACUCUCAAGUUCCAUGUUUCAAUGCCUAAAUUUGAUAAGAGUUUCCAGUUGCCAGUUAUUGCAAUAAUUCAGAGGAUGUAAAACGGCUGAGUGACGAUAAUCGUACGUAUCAUCAUUACAUAACAAAGAUAACAAAGUAAGCAAAAAAUGCACACUCAAAGAUCCUCUCCAUCAACUGCGAAUAUCGUUCGAAAGUACUUCGAACUGUAUCUCUCUACCGCUGCGUUAUACUACUUUCAAGAUAUAAAUAUACGCUCUAGCGCUUGCAAAUAGAUACUGCGUUACACGCAGCAUAAUACCUCUAUCGUCUGCCUUUCUAAAGUGCCUUACGAACAUAUUUGCUUGUACAAAUAAUGCUAAAUCAUGAACGAAGAAAAAUACCAAUA
rnacentral:lncRNA from 1 species